rnacentral:rRNA from 1 species
CCUACGGGUGGCUGCAGUGGGGAAUAUUGGACAAUGGGGGCAACCCUGAUCCAGCCAUGCCGCGUGUGUGAAGAAGGCCCUCGGGUUGUAAAGCACUUUCAGUGAGGAAGAACGCCUGGUGGUUAAUACCCAUCAGGAAAGACAUCACUCACAGAAGAAGCACCGGCUAACUCCGUGCCAGCAGCCGCGGUAAUACGGAGGGUGCGAGCGUUAAUCGGAAUUACUGGGCGUAAAGCGCGCGUAGGUGGCUUGAUAAGCCGGUUGUGAAAGCCCCGGGCUCAACCUGGGAACGGCAUCCGGAACUGUCAAGCUAGAGUGCAGGAGAGGAAGGUAGAAUUCCCGGUGUAGCGGUGAAAUGCGUAGAGAUCGGGAGGAAUACCAGUGGCGAAGGUGGCCUUCUGGACUGACACUGACACUGAGGUGCGAAAGCGUGGGUAGCAAACAGGAUUAGAUACCCGGGUAGUC